rnacentral:rRNA from 1 species
UACGUAGGGUGCGAGCAUUGUCCGGAAUUAUUGGGCGUAAAGAGCUCGUAGGCGGCUUGUCGCGUCGGAUGUGAAAGCCCGGGGCUUAACCCCGGGUCUGCAUUCGAUACGGGCAGGCUAGAGUUCGGUAGGGGAGAUCGGAAUUCCUGGUGUAGCGGUGAAAUGCGCAGAUAUCAGGAGGAACACCGGUGGCGAAGGCGGAUCUCUGGGCCGAUACUGACGCUGAGGCGCGAAAGCGUGGGGAGCAAACAGG